rnacentral:rRNA from 1 species
UACAGAGGUCCCAAGCGUUGUUCGGAUUCACUGGGCGUAAAGGGUGCGUAGGUGGUGUGGUAAGUCGGAUGUGAAAGCUCGGAGCUCAACUCCGAAAUGGCAUUGGAAACUACCCUGCUAGAGGAUUGGAGGGGGGACUGGAAUACUUGGUGUAGCAGUGAAAUGCGUAGAUAUCAAGUGGAACACCAGUGGCGAAGGCGAGUCCCUGGACAAUACCUGACACUGAGGCACGAAAGCUAGGGGAGCAAACAGG